CAGCCUGCGGAGGCACCAGGGCCUUGCCAGCGCCGCAGCGACAUCUCCGAGACCGGGGCUCGAACUACAAGCACGGAAGGCGAAGCUGAGGUGGAAGAAGAAAUGAGCAAAAUGAGCGCCGAGGCGAGAAGGGUCAGAUCGCCAGCCCCGUCCACGCAAUCGGGAAGGAAGGGGCUCCUUGAAGCGGGUGGAGGGGAAAACACCCUUACCUGCCAGACACCCUUGCCUGUUGCUAUAGUGUUACCAGGCCUUUUCAGAGGAUACCCAAAGAAGAUGAGAGUUUCCUAACUUUAAAUUCAUUGGGAAAGCUUCAUAUCCACUGAAGAGCAGUGAAGCAAGAAAGGAAGAGUACUUAAUUGACCUCUCUGUUGAAUAAUUAUCUAAUUGAUUUGUACUCAGAGGACCCAGUAGCUGUGGCCAAAAGGAAUUGGCCCAAGUCCAAAAUAAAGUUUGCUUUUCUUGUUAUUA